CUGGGGAGCGGAGCCAGAGCCGGGCUGCCUGCCACCCGGCAGCUCGUCCGCUAGCUGGGGAGGAGCGCUCCGCUCGCAACUGACAAAGGAUGGGCGAACGCCCGCGCCCCGGGAUGCCGGCCGCGCGCAGCCUGGCGGCCGCCUGAGCGACCUCACCCUCCGCCGGAAAUGUACCCAAAAAGAACUCUGAGAGAAUAUACUCUAUUGCCCUGCUGUGAUUAAACAAGACUGCUGUAUUUUGUUUUAUGAAGAUGUUAAUGCAUUUAAACAAAAUAAUAGCCUGUAUCCUGAAUACAACUUUGUAAAAUAUGGGAAAGGUCUUCUGCAUGUGGUUGUUUCUUGUAACAGCCUUUGAGAGACACCGUGAACAAAAUUUACAUGAAAUUAAUCCAGGAACCAAAGUGAUUAUGACAGCAUUCUGAUUAUUUGGAAACACAGGGGAAAAGUCUGAAGAGUCUUGAGGAGUAAAUGGUUGGCACCUUAUUCCUUAGACAAUUAUCUUGCAUAUCAGCUAUCUCCAGCAGGCUUAAAAUAGGAGUUUUGUGGCAGACAACUCAUAAAUGAGGUUUUAAUGAGUAUGUGAAAGGCAGGCAUUUUUCAUUCAUGACUGAAAAAGCACCUCUACACUAUAGAUAUCAACCAUGUUGAAAACAAAGACAUUUCAUUGUGAAAGUUGAAGGCUAUGAAUUUAUUCAUUUAGGCAACACAUAUUCUAAUUUAGCCUGUAUUGCUUUUAAUUCUACUUAUCACCAGAAGUUGAGGUACCUAUGUGCAGGAUUAAAUUUGUUUUUGUCAGGAAGGAAUGCUAAAUGUUUAAAUGAAUGCUAAAAGGCUAUCUAAAAGUUGUAUAUGUCUAUGAAAGAUUUGGACAGAUUUUGGAGAUAUACUGCAUACUGUCAAACAAUAAAGCCCUGAGUUGACUCUGUUAAUGAGUUUAAUUAGAUUGAAAUUCUAUUGCAAUUAAUCUGCCAGGUGAACAUGGUUUAUACGUAGAUUUAUACAAAAUGUGCACAUUUCUCUUGCUAUUGUUUUAACCUAUGUUCUAUACUAGGUAGUUAUGAAAGUUUUGUUAUUUGGAAUAAAGCUCUUAACACCUCUAAAGAGGAAAUGUUUGCUAUGUAAUAUGAGUUUGAAUGAGUAAGUAUAAACACUGGAAGUCUUUAAAAGGAAAAUUCAGUUUCUUUUCAGUUAGAGAGAUUCAUGUAUGGAAUAGAGAUCAGUAAACAGACCAUCAGUUAA